rnacentral:snRNA from 1 species
GAGUGUGAAGGUGUUCCGACUGCCACCCCACUAAUUGCCAGGACUGAGCCAGCUGAUCUGGCUGCCGAGGCGCUUUCCUCCCUUACUGCUAUCUCAUCCUUCCAAAAGCUGUGCUGGGUCCAAGACGGCCACCUUUCCUGAUGGAGGAAGGCCAGUCUUCAGUAGAGGGCAUACCAAUAUCUGUGCUUCCCCUCGGACCACUAAACAGGCUCUCAAACAACAAACACCAGCACAAAUCAGAAGGUUCCCAGGCAAUGACCAACAGUGCAUUUGUAAUGCAAAUAAUAGCCUUCAC